UACAUAAUAGGACAAACAUACAUAGGAGAGAUGGAAUAUAACACUAAUAUAAGAAAAAUAGAAAAUUAAAAAAUGCAUACAGAAGUAGAAAUAUAGAGAUAAAAACAUGCAUUUUUUUUACAGAUAAGUGUACAGAUAAGUUAUUUACAGGUUUACAAAUGUACAGUGUACAGAUUAUUUUUAUAAAUUUAUUUAUUUGUUUAUAGUUUGCUGGGGUAAAAGAGUCAUUGAAUAUUGGUGGUUAAACGAAGGCAGCUUCAUCGCUCUGUUGCACUGAAAUACGUUUUUGAGGAGCUAUGAUGGACCAGCACUGGUGUUUUGUCAGGUCUUUAGAUUAGUGUCUGCAGUGCACAGAUGUUUUAGUGAGACGUGCUCUGGACCGCUCCAGCAUCGCUCAGAGGUAAACAGGAAAGAGACCUGCUCUAGAACAGGAAGCUCGUGAUUGUGAUGCAUGUGACAGAUAACAGACACUUUGUUUACUCACACGCAGCAGCUCAAACACGCUUUACCUGCGUCGGCUUGAUUUCUGGUGCUUCAGUAAGUAAUACCCACCUACACCAGGAAUUACUGCAGAUAAGGCUUUCGGAUGGCAGCUAUUACUGUCAGCCGCUGGAGCAGAGAGGAAGAGAUCACGGCGUGAUUCUGCUGUGUGUCCGAUCAUGAAUCUGUGUGUUUGGUGGCGUUCGGGCGAUGCACACGGAUGUGGUUUGAUGGAUGGAUUGGCCCGUGGCCAUGGAGAUCCAGAAGAGCGCUUGACAGAACGCCCACUCCUUCACUGCUUCUCAAGACGCGCACUGAUCGCAGAUCCUCAGCAGCAAGCGUAUGCAGAGAAAACACACAGAUCUCGGGGCUUUCUAGCUUGUGUCAGCUGCAUUCCAUCUAAUGACAUCUUACAUACAAAUGCUAUUAAAUGAAAGUCAAGAUGUGCAGUCGAACCAAAAUUGAAUCAGACACCACAUUUAAUGUUUACUUUAGUUCAUUUAUGUCAUUUCGUUCAUGUAAGUGAGGAUGGUCAAAUAAACUGUAAACUUUGACAUAAUAUACGCAAAAAUUCUUCAUACUGUGGAUUACUAGUGAAAUUUGGGAGCAAAAAUAAUUCAGACACUUCAGUUUUUUUAUUGCUAAUGUGAUUGUUUUCCACCACAGACUGAACACAGUGAAGGGUCGAGCUAAAAUGGUGUUAUCUAAUUGUGUUUUUAAACUUAACAGCUGACAGCUAUUCAACCCAAUUCAUUAUUCUAUCAAAGUGAUCUGACGUCGAUGAUGAAUUUGUUCUGGCACAGUUUAACUCUGAGAUCUUGUUAUAUUGUAUUAACAUUUUUUUCAACUAUAGCAAAUAAACUAUGAUUAUGUGA